rnacentral:rRNA from 1 species
GAGUUUGAUCAUGGCUCAGAACGAACGCUGGCGGCAGGCUUAACACAUGCAAGUCGAGCGCGGUCUUUCGGGACUGAGCGGCGGACGGGUGAGUAACGCGUGGGAACGUGCCCCUUUCUUCGGAAUAGCCUCGGGAAACUGGGAGUAAUGCCGAAUACGCCGGGCCAUGGCGACAUGGUUUGGGAAAGAUUUAUCGGAGAGGGAUCGGCCCGCGUUGGAUUAGGUAGUUGGUGGGGUAACGGCCUACCAAGCCGACGAUCCAUAGCUGGUUUGAGAGGAUGACCAGCCACACUGGGACUGAGACACGGCCCAGACUCCUACGGGAGGCAGCAGUGGGGAAUCUUGGACAAUGGGGGCAACCCUGAUCCAGCCAUGCCGCGUGAGCGAUGAAGGCCUUAGGGUUGUAAAGCUCUUUCAGCGGGGAAGAUAAUGACGGUACCCGCAGAAGAAGCCCCGGCUAACUCCGUGCCAGCAGCCGCGGUAA